rnacentral:lncRNA from 1 species
CGGAAAUACAUUUUCAAUCCGACUCAUGUGUUUGAUGCUACACCUAUGGAGUUGCGGGAUGUAAUAUACCAGAUUUUGGUAUAAAAAUAGAAGUAAAUAAAAAUAGUGUGAGAUACUAUUUUUAUUUGGUUUUUGAGAAGCAAUGUAUAAGUCUAUAAUGACUUGUGCUGAAAUCGGAAUGAAAACAGAAGAUUUAUAAUUUUCUGUUGAAAACGAGACAGAUAAAUUAGCAAAAAAUACAGAGUCUCAGAAAAUUAUGAAAAUUGGAGGAUAAGUCAGAAAUAUUUUUAUGAGGCUAGAUUUAAAGUUUCAUAUUUUUCUGACACCCGAAAGUUGAGAAAUAAAAUCCGAAAUCUAUCUGAUAAAGAUUACAGUUCGGUACAGUUUUCGGUGACCAAACGGGG